GCAAAGAUCAUUCAAACAAGACAUUAGUACCCAGCAGAAGCAGGCACCUGCAGUACCCAAGCCUGAGAAAUCACAAGGGGACCUCGAAAAUGAAGCAAGGAAGUAUAAACAAGCUAGAGCAAGAUACAGCACAGGUGUGCAGCCAGCAGAGCCCAGGAGUACACAGGUACUCACUAGCAUCCUCAAAAGAUUCAGACCCUUUAGAAACAGCCUCCAAAAAGCUCUCCCUGCAAUCCGCUUUCUUCUUCCAGGACCCCUGUAAACUAAUUGGCCUUUGCCCCUCCUUUGCCAACCUCCCAUCUAAGGCAGCAUAAUUGCUGCCAAUUAUCUCUCCUGGUGGCCAAGCUAGUGAAAGGACAAGGUUUGCAGUGAAGGGGGUCUUCAGCUUAACUAGUUCUUUGGGAUUCACAGUAGAAAGCAAGAACCCAAAAGAUUGCUGCUAUAAUAAACUUUGAUUUGAGAAAAGCACUGUAGUUGUGAAGGCAUCUCCCAGCAUUCGAAAUAGGAAAUCAAAUACCGAGGCAAACAGCAGUGCUGUUGAAAGAUGAGUAAUGGUCAGAAGCUAAGAUGUGCUCAGAAACCAGGGCAUCAUCUGAAAGGCAGCAUCAAAAGGCAGCUUCUGAAUAGCUAAUUCAGAAUGGUAUCAGUGUGACGAAAAUGGCUUUCUGCGUUGUGUUUCAAGAGGCAAUAUGUUCUGUAUUGAAUUCGAGAACUCACAGCUUAACAAAAUCAGUGAGUAGCCGGCCUCAUUUGGCAACCUGUGUGCUCAAUAAGCAGCAUGUGAUAACUUCAACAUUUAUCUAUCUGAACACUGGGAGACUCACUCACUCACCGCACAGGAAGUCGCUGCCAUCGCUGCAAUUUCAAAGAAGACCAAAGCAAUGCAUCUUUGAAGCAGCCUCAUGGAACCACGAAGAAGGCCAGGCUGCUAAUGCCUGAGAAUGGCCCAGUGGCUUAGCACAUGUCCUCACUCUGACCUGGGAAUGAUCCAGACCAAGUCUGACUUCUGGGUGUUUGGUAGGUCUUGAAAUGUUUGAAAAUGACUCUCUUCUAAGCACUCAGGCGCAGCUCACUCAACUGGUAUUGCAACUAUUCAUCACCGCUUCUCCCCUCCUUGGUACACUCUGGGCAUUUUCCCUUCCUAGAGGGCCACCUGCAGUGUCCAGCCAUAUGCAGCUGGAUCGGGUCACAAU
rnacentral:lncRNA from 1 species